AUUAAUAGCUUCUAGGGUUCCGGUUUGGAUUUAAAAAACGAGAAAGUUUUGCCAAAUGCUGGUCCGAGAGAAGCAGCUGGCAAACUUCAAAGUUUAUUUUUGGAUAGAUUAGCUAGCCACACGGCGGGGGAAAAGCCCGGGAGAA
rnacentral:sRNA from 2 species